GACGAACGCUGGCGGCGUGCCUAAUACAUGCAAGUCGAACGCAGUGGGGACGGGUGAGUAACACGUGGGUAACCUCCCAUCAGCGGAGAUAACACUUGGAAACAGGUGCUAAACCGAUACUGGUUGAUGGGCCGGCGGUGCAGUAGCUAGUUGGUGAGGUAACGGCUCACCAGGGCCGCGAUGCAUAGCCUACCGGAUAGGGUGAUCGCCAACACUGGGACGGCGACGCGGCCCAGACGCCUACGGUAGGCAGCAGUAGGGAAUCUUAGGCAACGGACGAAAGGAUGACCGAGCAACGCCGCGUGAGUGAAGAAGGUUUUCGGAUCGUAAUACUCUGUUGUUAGAGAAGCGGUAGCUAACCAGAAAGCCACGGCUAACUACGUGCCAGCAGCCGCGGUAAUAC
rnacentral:rRNA from 1 species